GACAGAGGGUGCAAACGUUGUUCGGAAUUACUGGGCGUAAAGCGCGUGUAGGCGGCCAUCUAAGUUCGGGCGUGAAAUCCCACGGCUCAACCGUGGAAGUGCACUCCGAAACUGGAUGGCUAGGAGUCCUGGAGAGGAAGGUGGAAUGCUUGGUGUAGAGGUGAAAUUCGUAGAUAUCAAAGCGGAACACCGGUGGCGAAGGCGGC
rnacentral:rRNA from 1 species